UACGUAGGGUGCAAGCGUUGUCCGGAUUUAUUGGGCGUAAAGAGCUCGUAGGCGGCUCAGUAAGUCAGGUGUGAAACCUCCAGGCUCAACCUGGAGACGCCACCUGAUACUGCUGUGGCUAGAGUCCGGUAGGGGAGCGUGGAAUUCCUGGUGUAGCGGUGAAAUGCGCAGAUAUCAGGAGGAACACCAGCGGCGAAGGCGGCGCUCUGGGCCGGAACUGACGCUGAGGAGCGAAAGCGUGGGUAGCAAACAGG
rnacentral:rRNA from 1 species